rnacentral:rRNA from 1 species
UACGUAGGGGGCCAGCGUUGUUCGGAAUUACUGGGUGUAAAGGGUUCGUAGGCGGUGCGGCAAGUUGGGAGUGAAAUCUCUGGGCUUAACCCAGAGGCUGCUUUCAAAACUGCUGUGCUUGAGUGUGAGAGAGGCUCGUGGAAUUGCAGGUGUAGCGGUGAAAUGCGUAGAUAUCUGCAGGAACACCCGUGGCGAAAAGCGGCGAGCUGGAUCACUACUGACGCUGAGGAACGAAAGCUAGGGGGAGCAAACAGG